rnacentral:rRNA from 1 species
AAGCAUAUCAAUAAGCGGAGGAAGAGAAACUAACCAGGAUUCCCCUAGUAACGGCGAGCGAACCGGGAAGAGCCCAAAGUGAGAAUCUCCGGCCCUGGGCCGGCGAAUUGUAGUCUAUGGAAGCGUGCUCUGUGACGGCUCGGGUCCAAGUUCCCUGGAAAGGGACGUCGGAGAGGGUGAGAACCCCGUGGGCCCCGACCCCCGCCACCCCACGAGCCGCUCUCCUCGAGUCGGGUUGUUUGGGAAUGCAGCCCCAAGCCGGUGGUAAAUCCCAUCUAAGGCUAAAUACCGACGGGAGACCGAUAGCGAACAAGUACCGCGAGGGAAAGAUGAAAAGAACUUUGAAAAGAGGGUCAAAAGUGCUUGAAAUUGUUGAGAGGGAAGCGAUUGGAAGCCGUGGGUGCCCCGAGGGCCACGUGGACUGGUCCCCCAGUCCUCCGAACCCACUCGGGGCUGGUCAGCAUGGGUUGACCGGGAGGGACAAGACCGGGGGUGGAACACCCCGGCCAUGCCUCCCGGGCGACCGAGGACCCGGGGAGCGCCCCAGUCGAGCUCGCUCGAUCCGCGCCCCCAGGAUGCUGGCAGAAGGUGUCCAAUCGGCCCGUCUUGAAACACGGACC